GCGUGCUCGAAAAUGUUAAAGUUCUUAUUUCAUGGUAUAACUUUGGUAUGCUUGGACCUAGAGUCUUCAAACUUGACAUGAAGGUUGGCCAGGAUUAACAGAUGACCACUGGUCAUUUCAAGGUCAUUCAUUUGAAGGUCAAGGUCACUGUGACCUUCAAUAUAAAAAAUGUUAAAGUUGUUAUAACUUUGGUAUGCUUGGACCUAGAGUCUUGAAACUUGACAUGAAGGUUGGCCAUAACUAGUUAGUAACCACUGGUCAUUUCAAGGUCAUUCAUUUGAAGGUCAAGGUCACUGUGACCUUGAAUGUAAAAAUGUUAAAGUUCUUAUUUCAUGGUAUAACUUUGGUAUGCUUGGACCUAGAGUCUUCAAACUUGACAUGAAGGUUGGCCAGGAUUAACAGAUGACCACUGGUCAUUUCAAGGUCAUUCAUUUGAAGGUGAAGGUCACUGUGACCUUCAAUAUAAAAAUGUUAAAGUUGUUAUAACUUUGGUAUGCUUGGACCUAGAGUCUUGAAACUUGACAUGAAGGUUGGCCAGAACUAGUAAGUAACCACUGGACAUUUCAAGGUCAUUCAUUUGAAGGUCAAGGUCACUGUGACCUUGAAUGUAAAAAUGUUAAAGUUGUUAUAACUUUGGUAUGCUUGGACCUAGAGUCUUGAAACUUGACAUGAAGGUUGGCCAGAACUAGUAAGUAACCACUGGACAUUUCAAGGUCAUUCAUUUGAAGGUCAAGGUCACUGUGACCUUGAAUGUAAAAAUGUUAAAGUUCUUAUUUCAUGUUAUAACUUUGGUAUGCUUGUACCUAGAGUCUUCAAACUUGAAAUAAAGAUUGGCCAGUACUAGAAGAUGACCACUGGUCAUUUCAAUGUCAUUCAUUUGAAGGUCAAGGUCACUGUGACCUUAAAUGUUAUUGUUGUUCAUGUAUAUGCAUGCAUUCAAAACAUAACACAAGGUUUUCUCAUGCCUUGAAAAGUACUUACAUUUCAUUUUGACCUUUGAACAAUAUUUCAGUAAUUUAAGUAUUGCAUUGACAAAAACACGAAAGGUACUUUCCUGUCAUUUAAAUCAAAAAUCCGGCUUCAAUGCGGUCAUCUCCGACCGCGGAACUCUUGUUAUAACUUUGGUAUGCUUGUACCUAGAGUCUUCAAACUUGACAUAAAGGUUGGCCAGUACUAGAAGAUCACCACUGCUCAUUUCAAUGUCAUUCAUUUGAAGGUCAAGGUCACUGUGACCUUCAAUGUUAAAAUGUUAAAAUUGUUAUAACUUUGGUAUGCUUGGACCUAGAAUCUCAAACUUGACGUAAAGGUUUGCAAGCACACUUAGAUGACCACUGGUCAUUUCAAGGUCAUUCAUUUGAAGGUCGAGGUCACUGUGACCUUGGAUGUAAAUAUGUUAAAGUUGUUAAUACUUUGGUAUGCUUAGACCUAGAGUCUUCAAACUUGAUAUGAAGGUUGGCCAGAACUAGUAGAUGACCACUGGUCAUUUUAAGGUCAAGGUCACCGUGACCUUGAAUG